rnacentral:rRNA from 1 species
UACAGAGGGUGCAAGCGUUAAUCGGACUUACUGGGCGUAAAGGGCGCGUAGGCGGCCACCGCAAGUCGAUUGUGAAAUCUCCGGGCUUAACCCGGAAAGGUCAACCGAUACUGCGGGGCUAGAGUGCAGAAGGGGCAACUGGAAUUCUCGGUGUAGCGGUGAAAUGCGUAGAUAUCGAGAGGAACACCUGCGGCGAAGGCGGGUUGCUGGGCUGACACUGACGCUGAAGUGCGAAAGCUAGGGGAGCGAACGGGG